rnacentral:ncRNA from 1 species
CGAAAAACAGUGAAGGAAAUAAGUAAGCAAUUACCCAUAAUUAGAGAGGCAUACUCCAGGCUGAGAAGUAUGCUAUGGACAGGGUUGCUGAAAGCUAUUCCUGAGUGCGGUUAAUCCCCGCCGGAGUCGCGCCUCGUUAUUGGCGUCUGAGGUGAUAGACAGUUUAAUGUCUAUAAUCAGGGUGGUACCGCGGAUUUAAACUCCCGUCCCUGCC